rnacentral:tRNA from 1 species
GCCGGCAUAGCACAGUGGUAGUGCAACAGUUUUGUAAACUGUAGGUCGUCGGUUCGAAUCCGACUGCCGGCUCCA